UACGUAGGGGGCAAGCGUUGUCCGGAAUCAUUGGGCGUAAAGAGCGUGUAGGCGGCCAUGCAGGUCCGUUGUGAAAACUCGAGGCUCAACCUCGAGACGCCGGUGGAAACCGCAUGGCUAGAGUCCGGAAGAGGAGAGUGGAAUUCCUGGUGUAGCGGUGAAAUGCGCAGAUAUCAGGAAGAACACCCGUGGCGAAGGCGGCUCUCUGGGACGUGACUGACGCUGAGACGCGAAAGCGUGGGGAGCAAACAGG
rnacentral:rRNA from 1 species